ACCGGAAUAGUUCUUGGAGGAAUUGAAAAUCCACUAAAGUUUGCACCUUUUUCCCACAAUGUCCUGCUUCUUAACCUCACUAAUGAGAGUUUCAUUCUUGCUAGACUUGAAGGAACACUAGCAUUGUAUAAAGAUCCAGUAUGUUGAUGAACCAAACUCUUGAAAGCGUGUUCAUGAAGAAUAACUUCUAAUGACUUUGUAAGGCUGUUAUUAUGAGAACAUUGAACAAGAA
rnacentral:lncRNA from 1 species